rfam:Xiphophorus maculatus strain JP 163 A Contig13.16, whole genome shotgun sequence.
UUUACUUAAUGAAGAGACUCCUGGAAACCAUUUUGUGUAGGAAGUUUCUGAUGCAGAUGUAAA